rnacentral:misc_RNA from 1 species
GAACUAACUCCCUUCCCUCUACUCCCAGAGCCCGCCCGGCAGGACCACCGAGCAAGGCCUUGGAAAACCAGAGAGAUUAGAGCGGUGAGUCGCGCCGGUCACGUUGGACGCCUGCGCGUUAGGAGAUUCUGGAGCCAGAACAGCUGAAUUGCCUUCGCCCGCCCUGCCCCUCGCCUGCUUCAGAAGCUUCCAGGAACUCCCGGGUCGGCGACCCAGCCCGAGCCGCCUGGGGCCCCAAGGGAAGCUGAACGCCCUGUGGGCUCCUGGGAUGGUUCUUCCCGUUCUUUGCGCCGCCUUCACCCAUUGAAGAGCCUGUGCCCACCCUGCCCAGUCGCUCUCGGGGCCGCGGAGGAGCUUCCGCUGCCAUCUUCGGAUCCUGUGUUCCGCACGGGGGCUCCACCAGGGCAGGGAUGGUGAAUGGGGAAAUGGAGAGAGAACCUGAAAGAGCCCCAAACUCGAGGACCUAUUGCUCCCCAAGAAUAACAUCUUCCAGAAGAACUAGACAGAAAACUAGGCGUCUGGGAACUCUGAAAUCCUUGGAGGAGUAGCAUCAUCAUGACCCUCUGUGUUCCUUUUGGCAAAGGACUUGCUCCCAUUGUUUGCUUGUUCCAUUGUCUGUCUGUUAAAUAAAUAAAACCCUUUUCAUAUAUCUUUAAACUUACGUUGGUUUUAUUAUUUCAUGAUUACAAAUAAUGCUGCAGUCAUCAUUCUUGUACACUCUCA